GAUGAAGAACGCAGCGAAAUGCGAUAAGUAGUGUGAAUUGCAGAAUUCAGUGAAUCAUCGAAUCUUUGAACGCACAUUGCGCCCUUUGGUAUUCCAAAGGGCAUGCCUGUUCGAGCGUCAUUUGUACCCUCAAGCUUUGCUUGGUGUUGGGCGUCUUGUCUCUAGCUUUGCUGGAGACUCGCCUUAAAGUAAUUGGCAGCCGGCCUACUGGUUUCGGAGCGCAGCACAAGUCGCACUCUCUAUCAGCAAAGGUCUAGCAUCCAUUAAGCCUUUUUUUCAACCUUUGACCUCGGAUCAGGUAGGGAUACCCGCUGAACUUAAGCAUAUCAAUAGCGGAGGA
rnacentral:misc_RNA from 1 species